CCCCGGAGGACUUGCUAGCAGCUUCCAUUCUGAUGCUUGUGGUGUCCCCUCAACGUGUCCCACAGAGCGGCUGGCUGGCAGCAGGAGUGCCAGAGGGGCCCACCGCAAGCCCCAGCCUGCUCCCGGACAUCCUCUCCCUCCUGCCUCCCACCUUCUGCGUCAGCGCCCAGGAAGGGAGCCGCCACGCCCUCCACUGGCAUCCCUCACUCGGGAAGACCCCGGGGGAUGGGCAGAGGCGGAAGCCCCAGCCUCUGGAAGAGGGGAUGUUGAGGUGGGGCGUCCUCUCCCACCCAGACCCCACCGGCCACCCAGACCACAGACGUCUUACUCUCUUAAGGGAGAAACUAAGGCCCAGAGAGGGUAGGACUCCCCCACCAACCCAGCUGGUGUGGCUGCUCUGAGAGCUGGCCUGUUCUCCCUUAAUGCUUGACUCUUUCUACACCCACUGCCCAGUUUCCACCUGGUGUCCACCCCAGGCUGGACACCUGGCCCGAGGCCCCCAAGGGCUGACUACAGUACAAUCCUCAGGAAUCGAGAGGACUGCCUGCCUGCCCCCGACCCCCUCCUCAUCCGGGGCCCAGCAGCCAGGGUCCCCCAUCCCAGCCCCACCCACCUACUAAUGCUGCCUGAGGAGUCUCCACUCCAGGGGGGCCCCUCACUGCCCAGCGCCUCCCACACAGAUCCUGCCUAUUCCUUCAUCCCUGCCACGCUCAAGCACUGUCUCUGUGCUGGGAGUGGGGUCCAAGGUGGGGAAAUCCUGGUGGUGGGGAGGCAGGUCAUAGCAGGCCGGUGGCCAGCGAGUCUGGAGCUGGACCCUCUACCAGGAGACACCAGCUGCCCACAGCCCCCUGCCCCCGACCUGGACCUAGUGGAUGAGAAAGCAGAGCGAAGGCUGGUGCUGGGCAAGCUCGGCUGCCACCCCCAAGCCGGUCGAGCCAGCUGGAGCCCAGCGCAGAGCCUCAGCGCGAGGGCCGGCCUGUCUGCACGUGAUGGCAACAGACUCAGCAGCCCUGACCCCGAGGCGGAGGAGUGAUUGGGCCAUGCGGCCGCGUCUGGGGCCAGGGGCUGGCUUCACAGAGCAGAACCAACAUUCUGUCGAGGCUCAAGUCCUGGAUGAGAGUGGAGGUCACCCAGCCAGGGUAAAACGCAGCAGAGACGAAAGCAGUGGCUCCAAACAGCUCUGGGUCAUUUUAUCGUGCUCUAUGUCACCACACACUCCGAAUUCAAUGAAGAAAAAGCCGUUUCCCUGAGAAUGUCCCCAGCAAAGCAGUAAAGAUGAUGAAUUUUAUUAAACCCCAACUCCGGGUUCACAUCCUUCUAAUAUUCUGGGCAAGGACACAGGAAGCACACAGUGAGCGCAGCCGCACAGGCUGGUCUCCCAAGGGGAGGCGCUCCAGCGAC
rnacentral:lncRNA from 1 species